CCAGCCUGCUUCUCUCUAACAAGAGCGUCUCCUUCUGUGGACCCCGUGCAGAAGCCCCAGGGCCUUCUCAGCACACCCCAGGCCCCAGCGGAUUCUGGGGACCUCUCAGUCAUCACCCCAAAGUGGAAACCUGGCCCUGGCACCCCAUACCGUGAGAAUUCUUGGAAAUCGGGUGAGCCACGUGGAGUCGGGGCCCAUCAAUGUAGGCCCGCACGGCCAGGGCGCACCUCUCCUGGGCCUCUGGGAUGUGGGGCGGGGGCGGCGGCCCCGUGAGCAAAAGAUGGCUUGGCAGAGGGCCGUCCCCGUCCCAGAUGGAAUCUGGAUCUGUUCUGACAUCCGUGUGUAGUAACAAGUAUAAAAUGUUCAUAGUUUUGAGCCAGCGAUUCUCCUGGGAGUUUAUCCUGAAGGAAUAACGUGAAACGCAGAAAACCUGCCUCCCAGGCCCCUCCGGCCGCAUUAUUUAUAACUGGGAGAAGCUGGGAACGACCCAAGCGCACGGGGAGGCCGGCGAGGAAAGCCGCCGCGCGUCUGGUGAGCUGAACAACGCGCAGCUGUUCGAAGUCACGUCUGUGGAAAGUUCCAGCCAUGUCAGAAAUGCUUCUUCUGUGAUGGGCGGUGGACGGGGCAGAACACGGCGGGGCCGCAGCUGAGGGUUUCGGCUGGCAGCCGGGCAGAGCGGCCAAAGCCACGGACGCACCGUGCGCGCUCGUGGGAGCUGAACGGGGGGGAAAACGGUGGUUCUGCUCCGGUCUGUGGUCCGUGGCGGGGACCGUCUUACCAAAUCAUGUGAUUUAUGGGCUCAACCUCACCCCAGACUCAGAGGCCGUCCACCCAGGCCUCCGGGGCUUGGGGCUCCAGGCUCUGUCCCUGGGUCAGCAGCUGUAGCAGGGGCUCAGGGAGGGAGUCCGGCGGGAAGAGGCCUCUUCUCACAGCCAGGGCCACGCUGCCAGGGCCGAGGCGCCCACCUGCUGUACCGCGAGUGGUUUCUGAGUUUCUUCUCGGUAAGACCGGCUGUGGGGUCUGCGCUGUGGCCCCUGCCACCCGUGUCCCCCUCGCCCACUGCCGGAGCCUCUGGGGGCCUAAACGAAGAUGGGGGCAGGGUGUGGCGUCCCUGCCCCGAGAAAGGUCCUGGGGCUCAAGCACGGUGACCAGCCAGGAGGAACCGCUUCUCCACCCCGGGGAACCAGGGAGGGCUUCUUCAAGAACAGCUGGGCUGAGCGGGAGGGAGCGGGCAGGGACUGAGCCCGGAGCGUCUACCCCUGGGAGAAACUCGAAUCCCAGGCCCCCACUGUCAGUGGCCUUGGGUACUACCUUCGGGCUCGCGGAGGGGAGGGAGCUCCAGCCUGGGUGGUCAGGCGCCCGACAAAACCACGUGCUGACCUUGGGGUAAGACACAGGCCUCCUCGUGGGGCGGCUCCGAGGCCCAGAGCCUCCGAGGAGCACAGGGUCUGGGGGUGGGGGGUGGGGCGGUGCGGGGACCCGGCCUGUGGGAGCAGCCCCUCUGGCAGCCUCAGCAGGCUCUGGUGUCCCCACAGGGAGCCGCUCCCCCCCUCCUGACCGCGUUCCCAGAGCGGCCGUGGCUGGGCCUUGCCUUCCCCAGGGACCGGUCUCGGGUGGGGACUCUCCAGCCCCGCAGAGAGACCUGGGCCUCCCCUGGCCCGGAGGAGCCUGGCACCCGAGGGCCGCUUCUCUGUUCGCCUCCCGAGGGGACGUGCCAGCUUCUCCCUUGCACGGCCCAGGUCCUGGACGUUCUGCCCAAACCCCUCGGCGGCCUCAGUUCUCUCCGGAAGCCGGGCCUCCCAGUCUCCCUGCCUCCUGGCCAGUGCUGGGCCUCAUGAGGCUCCCGCAGGUACUCUCUGUUCUUUGUGCCGGAGACCGUUCCGGGGUGACCAAGGAGAAAGGGCACCGUGGCCUUGUCAGCGUCCUCACGGGACGCCCGGGAUCAUCAGGCCGGGGGGCGCGGGCGUCUUCUCCCCCCCGCUGGUCCGCGCUGGGCCGGGCUCCCUCGGCCCCUCCACAGCGAUGCCUCACUUCAAUGGGGAAGCCUGCUCUGACCUCCCUGGGCCUCAGCGUUCUCGCCUGGGAAUGGGGCCAGUGCUGCCCCCCUCACAGGGCCGUGUGUGGGUGGAGCCUGACCGGUGCCCCGGCUGACCCCGCGGGGAUGGGCUGAGCUCUGCCCGAGGCACGAACGGACGCAUCGAGAAGGAACGAAUGAAGGCCGCAGAGGCGCCAAGAACCGUGAGCGCGGUGCGCUCCGUGGAAAAGCCCGGACGCGAGGGGCGCGUGCAGCUGGACCCCAUGGGUAUGAGAUGUCCCGGGAGGUAAGUCCGCGUGGCCGGCGAGGACGUGGGUGGCGGCCAGGGGCUGGGGGACAGGGAGCCCUGUUCACGGGUGCAGGCCGAGGGGGGCGUUCCGGAACCAGGUCGUGGGGGCGGCUGCACCACGGAGAGAACGUACCAGGCGCCACAGAAUUGUUCACUUGGCCACUUUUGGGGCACCUGCCUGGCCCAGUCGGAAACGCAUGCGACUCCAGAUCUCAGGGUCGUGAGUUCGAGCCCCGUGUUGGGUGUAGACAUUACUUAAAAAUAAAAUCUUAAACAUAAACAUGUAAAUACAUAAAUCAAGGGGCCACUUCUCCGUUAUGUGAGUUUCACCUCAGCUUAAGAAACGAGGAGGGAACGGGGGGGGGGCUCCCCUCCCCUGGAGGGGAGCGAGCUCAGCUCUGGGAGGGGGCGGCCUGGUCCGAACCCAGGUCUCUCACCGCAAAGCGGACGCCCUGACUCAGUUCCCUUUUCUGAAAACACAGGCCCUGGGUGUGGGGAAAGGUGAGGCCCAGCUCAAAAGGCCAAGGGUCUCUGUUCCCCAAGGGCAUCCCUGGAGUCCGGCAAAGUCUGGACCAGGCCUGGGGGGACAGGUGGGGGAGCAGGCCUUAGUUGGGGCCACGCCGGUGGCUGUGUCCAGAUGGGCAGCCCUCCCACCCACAUCCAGGGCGGCUGACGCUUGAAUCUGGGCCCGACCCCACCCCUCCCGCCCCUCUGACCCCUCACCCCGGGCCGGGCCUCCCUUCGCCCUGUUCUGACCCAGUGCCCAGCAGCAGCCCAGGAGCUGGGCCGGGUCCCAGCACAGGCACUUGGGCCUCGCCCGAAACUGGGGACAGGCUCCCGGUAAGCACUGCCUAAGGUGAGGCCCACCUCAGCACCGGAGGGCGCCUGUGGUUCAGACGCCUCUGCCUCCGUCUGUCCUGAGCCCUGGGGGUCCUGGACGCCUGCUGGAGGCUGUCCGCCCCGGGGCGGCUGGACACCCACCCAGUCGUUGCCCCCAGACGCAGCGGCUGCUGCCGCAUCCCAGAUACUGUCCCCAGGCGCCCCUCAAGCUCAGUGCCGCCCUUCGGUGGGGGGGCAUCGCUUCACGGACGGGAGACGGACCCCUGAGAGGCAGGGGAACCCUAGAGCACGGGGGGCCCUGGCCUCCACCUGCUCAGCGCCCAGGCCGCAUGUGCGUGAGUGUCGGGGGUGGGGCACCCUGCUGGCUUCUGGGCUUCGAGGGGCUGCCCUGCUGGGGUGGGCCUGGCCUGGGUGAGGGAAGGAGGGGAGAGAGGGCUUCCUGCCCAGCGAUGCUCGGCUUCCUGUGGGUUAGCGGGCGCACGGGCUCCACUGGUCAGGGUCACGUCGGGGCUGUGGUCAGGGAGAGGCUGUUGCUGAAGACGUCACUGGGGCCAGGCCCCCCAGCCCCAGCCACAGCCCAGGCUGCGUGCCCCGGAUGACCCCAGACUGCCAGACUGUUGCUUCGACGACUACUGGACAGGCCUGGUGGCCAGGGCCCCCGUGAUCUCUUCCUGCCCCACGUGUCCUCCUGCCCUCUGCCCUCUGCUUCCCCUGCCAGGACUGAGCCCCCCCUCACUCCUCCCCUGGGGCUCCUGAGGCCCCUGCCCCUCUCUCUCUCCCUCACUCCGUGUGCUCUCUGUGCCUCGAUGUCCCCCUCCUCCCCGUGAUCGCGCGGCCUUCCCGGCACCACCGGGGGCCCCGGCCCACUCGCCUGUGGCCAUGUUCCCACUCCCGGCGCCACCUCCGCCGGGGAGCCUGUCCCGACGCCGAUGGGAACCGUCUCGGACAACUCGAUGGAGCCAGAGUCCCGGAGUCCUGCCCGAGGCCCGGCAGAGGCCAGGACGGCGGGCAUCGCGACUUCACAGCCCCUUCCCGCCUCGAGCUGAGAGACACCCUCUCAGGGAAGGAUCUCCUGUCCCGUUUUACUUCAGGGACCGCUGGGAGGCUGCAGGGUCACUGGUGUGAGUGACAGGAAGACUCAGACGCUUGGCAAGGAUGCCCCGGCCUGGCCCAGUGUCGGAGAGCUCGGCCCUCAAUGGGCUCAGGCAGCAUUCUUGGGAUGCUUGUGCCCCAUUCAGCAGCGGCACUUCCAAUGCAAACACUCAGGGCCUCCCACACAAUGGUUCCCGCCAGCCUGGCCGGGCCAGCCAGACCCCUCCCCGCCUCCUCCCCACCACCAUUGUCCUUCCCUCUAGGGAGGGGCAGGGUGUGUGUGGAGGGGGACCAGGCCCCAGUCUGGGGGUGGCUGGGAAGGCUGGGAGAGGAUGAACGGACAUGCAAAUGAGAUACUGAAGAACCCGGCCAGGAUCCCCCGGAAAGGGGGCCCGAGGGAGGGGCUGGCUGUCUCCUCGCCCCGCCCCCAUCUCUGGGCUGAGUCACCAGCCACCGAGGGAACUUCCUUUGCUGGACAGGGCAGCCAGCUCCUUGGGCCUCCCCUCCCCGGCCCGGGAGGUGCCCCUCCUUGGAGUCUGGCCCUCUACACUACGCGUGACCCCGGUGUCGUAGUCCUGCGGGCCUACGUGGUCGGGGCCGAGCUCGGGGGCCAGUGUCUUCCUACCCCACCGCCCCCCCCCCCGCCUCCUCCCUCAGCAUCCGCAGACCUGGAGCAGGUGGCCCGGCUUUGACAAGACCCCAGCCCGCCUUCACCCCCCUCCCCGCUGCUGCCUGCUUCCCCCUGCCCUUGAGUUUCCAUCGGAAAUGCCUUCCAGUAGUUCAGAUCGCGGUGGGUCCCGGAUGGUGUCGAGGAGAGCUUCUCUCCAGCACGUCCGGGGCUCACAGCUCCUGAACCGGAGGCAGCCAGGAGGCCGGGCCCCGUGUGUCUGUGGAGCGCACGCCUCCCCGGCCGUCCUGGCUGUGCCCUCACACCUCUGGAGCCCGCUCUGUGCCCCACCGGGCCGGCCGCACGAAUGGCCCCGUCUUAAAACGUGGACGCCUUCCUUUGCCCGCGGAAUGUUCCGCUGUGUGGUUUGUACGGUCCGCUGAUGGGCACCUUGGGUUUUUUUCCGGCCAGCCCAGGACCACGAGUGGGCAGGAUGCCUCUCCGGAAGCGGGGCCGCUGGGUCAGACGUCGUAUUGGUAGCUCUGACAGACGGGGCCGAGCCUGGGUCCUCACGGCCCGCAGCCGUGCGUCACAAAGCCGUGGCCGGUCACACGGGCGAACCGGCGAUCGUCGCGAUCAUCGAGGCUUUGGGAGCGUGUCUGUCACCGACGGCUUUGUGGUUUUGCUGUUUACCUUGAAACCUGGCCCGUUUGGAAUUUAUUUUGUGAGACUACAGACCCAGCUUCGUUCUUUCCAGAUGGCUGUCUGCCUCCCCGGGCGUCGACAGUCCCGGCCACGGGGACUAGGUUCUGGUCGGUGAGAGGGGAGAGGAAGUGAGGGACAGCACUUUCGAAGAUUGCCCUGUGGCGGACGGCAUGCAUUCCUUUCUCCUUCCAGCUGCCUGGGACAUAGGGGUGAUGACUGGAGCUCCAGCAGCCCUGCUGGGCCACCGGGCAAACUUGGAAGGGAAACCACACAACAGGAGCGGGGGUGGAGAGAUGGAGGGGUCCUUGUGAGUCUGGGACACCGUGGAGUCCCCACAGCCCUGGGCUGCCUGCCUCACAAGACAGAGAGAUGAGCACCACACCAGAUUUGAGUGCCAGCAAAUCUGGUCCUUAGUCACACGUCCUUCUUUCGCCCCACAAUGUUCUUGGUUGUUUUUGCUUACUCAGUUUUCCACGUGAACCUUAGAAUUAGUUUGUUUAAUUUAGAAAUAAGUCCUGUUUGGGGAGCCUGAGUGGGUCAGUCGGUUAAGCGUCCGACUUCAGCUCAAGUCAUGAUCUUGCGGUUCGUGGGUUCGAGCCCCGCAUCGGGCUCUGUGCUGACC